rnacentral:lncRNA from 1 species
GCUUCACGGCUGAGUUUGUAAACAAUGUUAUCAAUUGUUUGCUUCACGGCUGAGUUUCUAAACAAUGUUAUCAUUUGUUUGCUUCACGGCUGAGAUACUUUAAUACGUUAAGUCUGAGUUACAUAAAACAUAGGCUGACUUACAAAACAUUACUAAACAAAGUAGUAGUAGCAGCAAAGUAACGACAUUCCAACCCCACAAACAAACACAUUCCUCAAACACCAACCCUGAAUCAUACAUUCUUCUCCUUUUCCCUCAGAUGUCGUCUUCAUUACUUCAAUCUCUUUCUCCAACCGAGCAACGCUAAGUCUGAAUUCCGAGAUGUCUUUGUUCAUGCCACUUAUCAGUGACUUAAU